GAUGAACGCUGGCGGCGUGCCUAAUACAUGCCAGUCGAGCGAACAGACGAGGAGCUUGCUCCUCUGACGUUAGCGGCGGACGGGUGAGUAACACGUGGAUAACCUACCUAUAAGACUGGGAUAACUUCGGGAAACCGGAGCUAAUACCGGAUAAUAUAUUGAACAGCAUGGUUUAAUAGUGAAAGACGGUUUUGCUGUCACUUAUAGAUGGAACCGCGCCGCAUUAGCUAGUUGGUAAGGUAACGGCUUACCAAGGCAACGAUGCGUAGCCGACCUGAUAGGGUGAUCGGCCACACUGGAACUGAGACACGGUCCAGACUCCUACGGGAGGCAGCAGUAGGGAAUCUUCCGCAAUGGGCGAAAGCUUGACGGAGCAACGCCGCGUGAGUGAUGAAGGUCUUCGGAUCGUAAAACUCUGUUAUUAGGGAAGAACAAAUGUGUAAGUAACUAUGCACGUCUUGACGGUACCUAAUCAGAAAGCCACGGCUAACUACGUG
rnacentral:rRNA from 1 species